rnacentral:lncRNA from 1 species
AUUUAUAUAAAGAGAGCUCUUUCUCCUUCAGCCCCUGUCUCCCAGCCUCUGGUAAAACACACUUGUCUUCCUCAUGGGGAGGUGAGAGUUACCUGUUGGGCAGAGGAGGGUGAUCAUCCUUCAUAUACCUGGGCUUUAGAUGGAAAGGCUUUGAAUGAAAGUGUGGCGUACCUCAGUGAUGAAGACCACACUGUCAUACUGAAGCAAUCGGUCUCUGGAAAUCUUGUCUGUACUGUUAGAAAUGGAAUAAGUGAGAAUUACACUAGCCAUGUGAUUUCUGCAUGCUCAGGUUAUGUAACAUCUUUAAAUUGCACUCUAAAAAAUGAUACAGAAAUUCCAGCAUUCAUCAACACAACUAAAGAAGACCUUGAUGUCUUGAAAGGUAGAGGAGUGCUUAUCAGUUUAGGAGGUGAAGAAACUUUAAGUAUCAUAUGCCAAAUCAAAACUCUCAAUCAAGAUUCCAUUGAAACUUCAACAUAUAUUUUUUGUGCUUUUCUGGGAUUUGGAGAAGCCUUUAUAAUCUUUGUUCUGUCUGUGGUGGUUUUCUGCCUGCUGCACCAGAAAAAUAAAAAGGAAGGGAAACAGAGUGAUGGAGGCCAUGAACUGGUUUAUGCUGAGGUAUCAGUAGACACUAUUACAAAACACAGGAGAAAAAUGGCACCUGUCUCUGAUGAAGGUGUGAUUUACAGCCAAAUUAGAGUGUCAGAAGAGACUGAACACAACGCACGUAAAGGGGAUGUGGCUUUGUUGUAUGCUGCAGUUAACAAAAAUCGAAACCCAUUACAAGUCAGAUAAAAAUACAUGUCACACGCACUUGGCCUCGGAGUCAUCCAGAAAGAAGGCCUACAUUUGGGAAGCUGAAAGAAACUAUUUUGAAAUAUGUUCUUGCUAUUUGAUUAAUUUUUGUUAACAAAAAGACUGCCAUAAAACCAUUAAAAACUUGCAAUGAAUGUACAAACUACAGUAUGUCCAAAUAUUUGU